AGAACGAACGCUGGCGGCAUGCCUAACACAUGCAAGUCGAACGCGUGACUUCGGUCACGAGUGGCGCACGGGUGAGUAGCGCGUGGGAACCUGCCUUUGGGUUCGGGAUAACCGCGGGAAACUGCGGCUAAUACCGGAUGUCCCCUACGGGGGAAAGAUUUAUCGCCCGAAGAGGGGCCCGCGUCCGAUUAGGUAGUUGGUGAGGUAACGGCUCACCAAGCCUUCGAUCGGUAGCUGGUCUGAGAGGAUGAUCAGCCACACUGGGACUGAGACACGGCCCAGACUCCUACGGGAGGCAGCAGUGGGGAAUAUUGGACAAUGGGGGCAACCCUGAUCCAGCAAUGCCGCGUGAGUGAUGAAGGCCUUCGGGUUGUAAAGCUCUUUCGCCCACGACGAUGGUGACGGUAGUGGGAGAAGAAGCCCCGGCUAACUUCGUGCCAGCAGCCGC
rnacentral:rRNA from 1 species